GUGAGAUGAGGUCCUGGAUGAUUGGAAAAGGGCAAAUAUAGUGUCCAUCUUUAAAAAAGAGAAGAAGGAGGAUCCUGAGAAUUAAAAAGCAGUCAGCCAGAUCUCGAUACCUGAAAUUCAUGGAGCAUGUCCUCAAGGAAUCUGUUGUGAAGCACACAAUCUACUAUGGAACAGCCAGCAUGAAUUCACCAAAAGAAUGCCAGGCAAAGGGAGCAGUUCCUCAGAGACCCCUCGUGUAUUCUGGUGGAUCCUCAUCUUGACUCAGACGUCUAUCCAGGUCUUUCUGGAUUCUACCUGCCCACCAGUGCACCUGCAACUCCAUCCAACUUAGUGUCAUCUGCAAAUCUGCUAACCAUUUACUCAAUUCCAUCAUGCAAAUGAUUAGUGAAGAUGUUGAACAUUACUGGACCCAGAAACUCCACUUGAGAACUCCUCUCAAGUAGACAUUGACCCAUUUGAUGAUAACUCAUCAAGCAUGAUGAUUCAACCUGU